CCUGCACCUGCCGGCGACCGGCGCACAGGUGAGUAACACGUAUGGAACCUGCCCGCCACAGGGGAUAACCCGGGGAAACCCGGCCUAAUACCCCAUGCCGCCGACCGGGCAUCCGGUCCGGGCGAAAGGAGGAAUCCGGUGGCGGCUGGGCAUGCGGCGCAUUAGCUUGACGGCGGGGUAACGGCCCACCGUGGCGACGAUGCGUAGGGGUUCUGAGAGGAAGGCCCCCCACACUGGAACUGAGACACGGUCCAGACUCCUACGGGAGGCAGCAG
rnacentral:rRNA from 1 species